UACAGGGGGUGCAAACGUUGCUCGGAAUCAUUGGGCGUAAAGCGCGCGUAGGCGGUUCGUUAUGUCGGAUGUGAAAGCCCUUGGCUUAACCGAGGAAGUGCAUCCGAAACUGGCGAGCUAGAGUACGAAAGAGGAUCGCGGAAUUCCCGGUGUAGAGGUGAAAUUCGUAGAUAUCGGGAGGAACACCGGUGGCGAAGGCGGCGAUCUGGGUCGAUACUGACGCUGAGGUGCGAAAGCGUGGGGAGCAAACAGG
rnacentral:rRNA from 1 species